rnacentral:lncRNA from 1 species
GAACAGUACCACUGCUGGAUAAUUGGAAAGUCCCUGUGUGUCAACCUCUGUGCUUCGUGGCAAGGUAGACUAGCAAACAUGCCCAACCUUUACUCACAUUCGAGAAAAACACCCCAAUAAGAUUGCUUGCUCCAAAAUCGAAGAGGCACCGUCCUCCGAAUCUCGAGAGCCAGACUCCCAACAUGACUACUUUCUUAAAAAUCGAAGAGAGGGUAAAGGAACAGUACCAUUGCUGGAUAAUUGGAAAGUCCCUGUGUGUCAACCUCUGUGCUUCGUGGCAAGGUAGACUAGCAAACAUGCCCAAUCUUUACUCACAUUCGAGAAAACACUCCCAACAAGAUUGCUUGCUCCAAAAUCGAAGAGGCACCGCCCUCCGAAUCUCGAGAGCCAGACUCCCAACAUGAUUACUUUCUCUCAAAAAUCGAAGAGACACUACUCCCCGAAUCUUC